rnacentral:rRNA from 1 species
UUGGAUCUCAAAUCAGACAAGAUGACCCGCUGAAUUUAAGCAUAUAACUAAGCGGAGGAAAAGAAACUAACAAGGAUUCCCCUAGUAGCGGCGAGCGAAGCGGGAACAGCCCAAGAUGAAAAUCCCUUCGGGGAGUUGUAGUCUGAGUGUCCUUGGGUGGGUCAGUGCGGGCAAGUCUUCUGGAAUGAAGCGCCAUGGAGGGUGAGAGCCCCGUCCAUCCCGCACAGGAUCCAUUCGUACAAGGACGCUUCAACCGAGUCGGGUAGCUUGGGAAUGCUGCUCUAAUUGGUGGUAAAUCUCAUCAAAGGCUAAAUAGUGGUGGGAGACCGAUAGCGAACAAGUACCGUGAGGGAAAGAUGGAAAGAACUUUGAAAAGAGAGUGAAAAGCACUUGAAACCGUCACGGGGGAAGCGGAUUGCGUGAGUGAUGGUGUCGCUUGUUCAGCGCUUUAUUGCGUGCAUUCUGGCGGCGCCGUGCCGGCGUGGCUGGCUGGACUGUGAUUUUGACAGUCUCGGCUGGUGAGGGCUCCCUCGUAUGAGGUGAGGACGCGGGCAAAAUGACGCAAUACGACCCGUCUUGAAACACGGACCAAGGAGUCUAGCACGGCUGCGAGUCGAAGAGUGAUUAAACUCAAGGGCGCAGUGAAAGCGAAAUUAUAAGCAAAUUGGGGAGGCGUUGCGUUUUUAACAAAAUGUCCUACCUCGAGCAUUUGUGCUGGGACCCGAAAGAUGGUGAACUAUGCCGGAGUAGGGCAAAGCCAGAGGAAACUCUGGUGGAGGCUCGUAGCGAUGCUGACGUGCAAAUCGCUCGUCGAACUUGGGUAUAGGGGCGAAAGACUAAUCGAACCAUCUAGUAGCUGGUUCCCUCCGAAGUUUCUCUCAGGAUAGCGGGCCGACACGCGUUUGUUGUUUUGUGCGGUAAAGCGAAUGAUUAGUGCAUUUGGGGUACGAAGUACUUCGGGCGAUUCUCAAACUUUAAAUGCGCAAGGGGGUGGCUGCUUAAUUGAGCCUACUCUUUGAAAAACGUCGGCCCUGUGGGCCACUUUUGGUAAGCAGAACUGGCGAUAAGGGAUGAACCUUAAGCGCGGUUAAGGCGCCUCAUUACCCGCUUAUAGACCCCACAAAAGGUGUUGAUUCAUAUAGACAGCAGGACGGUGGCCAUGGAAGUCGGAAUCCGCUAAGGAGUGUGUAACAACUCACCUGCCGAAUGAAUUAGCCCUGAAAAUGGAUGGCGCUAAAGCGGGUAGCCGACACCGCGCCGUUCCGGCGAGACGAGGCCGGGAUGAGUAGGAGGGCGUGGCGGUCAGUGAAGCAGGCUAGGGUGCAGACCCAGCUGAAACGGCCGCUAGUGCAGAUCUUGGUGGUAGUAGCAAAUAUUCAAGCGAGAUCCUUGAAGGGCGAAGCGGGGAAGGGUUCCACGCAAACAUUGAUUGGGCGUGGGUGAGUCGUUCCUAAGCCGAGUGGCAAUUGCUAAGUAGCGGCGAAAGGGAAGCGGGUUAAAAUUCCCGCACACGGAUAUGGAGGCGGCGACGCAAGCAGAGGCGAAUACGCUGGCCGAGGCGCUGGGCAGAGUUGUCUUUUCUGUUUGACCGGCAUCGCGCCGUGUGGAAUCCGCUUAUCGGGAGAAACACGCGCGGGUAUGGGCAGAGCGUCAAGUUUUUUUUGGCGUCCAGCUCGCCUCGGACGGCCCCUGAAAAUUCGCCCGCGAACUUUAAAAAUUUCAUGCUGUGACGUACCGAUAUCCGCAUCAGGUCCCCAAGGUGAACAGCCUCUGCUCAAUAUGAACAAUGCAGGUAAGGGAAGUCGGCAAAAUAGAUCCGUAACUUUGGGAAAAGGGUUGGCUCUAGUGGGAUGAAGGUCUUCAAAGGGGGCUUCGCUGUGCUUGGCGUCUGACGGGAGUGGCUAGCUUUCGGGCUGGAUGCUUCUGUUGGAUUCCUUGCGUGGGGGAUGUUUCUCGCCUUCAGCAUAUCCCAGACUAGAACUGCAACGGGCAAAGGGAAUCCGACUGUUUAAUUAAAACAAAGCAUUGCGAAGGCCGUGGCCGGUGUUGACGCAAUGUGAUUUCUGCUCAGUGCUCUGAAUGUCAAAGUGAAGAGAUUCAAUCAAGCGCGGGUAAACAGCGGGAGUAACUAUGACUCUCUUAAGGUAGCCAAAUGCCUCGUCAUCUAAUUAGUGACGCGCAUGAAUGGAUUAACGAGAUUCCUACUGUCCCUAUCUGCUUCUAGCGAAACCACAGCCGAGGGAACGGGCUCGGCGGAAUCGGCGGGGAAAGAAGACCCUGUUGAGCUUGACUCUAUUCUAAUUUUGUGAAGCAAGUUAGGAGGUGUAGAAUAGGUGGGAGCUUCGGCAACCGUGAAAUACCACUACUCUUAAUCUUGCUUUACUUAGGGCGUGAGGCUGUACGGCCGCAAGGCUUGCUUAUUGCAUCAAGCGUGAUUCGUUCGCGUGAACAGCGCGCCCAACACAUUUAGGAGGGGAGUUUGGCUGGGGCGGCACAUCUUCUACAAGACAACGAAGGUGUCCAAAGAUAAGCUCAGUGAGAACAGAAAUCUCACGUAGCGCAAAAGGGUAAAAGCUUGUUUGAUUUUGAUUUUCAGUGUGAGUUGAAAACGCGAAAGCGUGGCCUAUCGAUCCUUUCACGAUUCGAGAUUUGAAGCGAGAGGUGUCAGAAAAGUUACCACAGGGAUAACUGGCUUGUGGCGGCCAAGCGUUCAUAGCGACGUCGCUUUUUGAUCCUUCGAUGUCGGCUCUUCCUAUCAUUGCGAAGCAGAAUUCGCCAAGUGUCGGAUUGUUCACCCGCCAACAGGGAACGUGAGCUGGGUUUAGACCGUCGUGAGACAGGUUAGUUUUAUCCUACCGAUGAGUUGUUGCCGCGGCAGUAAUAUAUGGCAGUACGAGAGGAACGCAUAUUUCACACCACUGGUUCAUGCAGCUGCCUGAGCAGGCAGUGCUGCGAAGCUACCGUGUGAAUGAUCAGAAUAGCUGAGAGAGUCUAAGCUAGGAUCGGUUCUGCUCAGCGGCGACUUAUUUGUAUCCGCCUCGACACUGUGUACAGAUAGCCUUCGGGCGAGCACCAUUGGGCGUAAGCUUAUCGUCGUGCGUUUUAGCGGAUGUAAAAUCACCUGCAGAUGACUGGGUUGGGACUGGAGCGUGUACAGCGUUGAGAGAUCUUGUUAUCUCGAUUCCUUGAGCGUAUCUGAGUCCUUACGAUUUGUUU